AUUGAACGCUGGCGGAAUGCUUUACACAUGCAAGUCGAGCGGCAGCGCGGCCUUCGGGCUGGCGGCGAGCGGCGAACGGGUGAGUAAUGCAUCGGAACAUGCCCAGUCGUGGGGGAUAACACUUCGAAAGAAGUGCUAAUACCGCAUACGUCCUGAGGGGGAAAGCGGGGGAUCGCAAGACCUCGCGCGAUUGGAGUGGCCGAUGUCAGAUUAGCUAGUUGGUGGGGUAAAGGCCUACCAAGGCGACGAUCUGUAGCUGGUCUGAGAGGAUGAUCAGCCACACUGGGACUGAGACACGGCCCAGACUCCUACGGGAGGCAGCAGUGGGGAAUUUUGGACAAUGGGGGCAACCCUGAUCCAGCCAUUCCGCGUGAGUGAAGAAGGCCUUCGGGUUGUAAAGCUCUUUCGGGAGGAACGAAACGGUGGGCUCUAACAUAGUCCGCUAAUGACGGUACCUGAAGAAGAAGCACCGGCUAACUACGUG
rnacentral:rRNA from 1 species